UUCCGGUUGAUCCUGCCGAAGGCUACUGCUAUUGGAGUUCGAUUAAGCCAUGCGAGUCUAAGGGACUUCGGUCCCUGGCAUAAUGCUCAGUAACAAGUGGAUAAUCUGCCCUUAGGUGAGGAAUAAACCCGGGAAACUGGGGCUAAUACCUCAUAGACACAAGAAGCUGGAAUGCUCCUGUGUUCAAAGCUCCGGCGCCUAAGGAUGAGUCUGCUUCCUAUCAGGUUGUAGUCAGGGUCAAGACCUGACUAGCCAGCGACGGGUACGGGGUGUGAGAGCACUUGCCCGGAGAUGGUUUCUGAGACACGAAACCAGGCCCUACGGGGCGCAGCAGGCGCGAAAACUUCGCAAUGCGGGAAACCGUGACGAGGGAACUCCAAGUGUCUAUGCAAUGCAUAGACUGUUUUUCAGCCUAAACAGCUGUUAGAGUAAGAGGUGGGCAAGACCGGUGCCAGCCGCCGCGGUAACACCGGCACCUCGAGUGGUAGCCACUAUUAUUGGGCCUAAAGCGUUCGUAGCCGGUUUGGUAAAUUCUUGGGUAAAUCGUACAGCUUAACUGUGCGGAUUCCGGGGACACUACCAGACUUGAGACCGGGAGAGAUCAGAGGUACUUGUAGGGGAGCGGUGAAAUGUUGUAAUCCUACAGGGACCACCAGUGGCGAAGGCGUCUGAUCAUAACGGCUUUGACGGUGAGGAACGAAACCCUGGGGCGCAAACGGGAUUAGAUACCCCGGUAGUCCA
rnacentral:rRNA from 1 species